GAUAAAUAUAAUCCUAAAGGUUAAGAUAAGGAAUUGUGGUUUCUUUUAUAUGAGUUCAAAUCUCUUUAUUUAUC
rnacentral:tRNA from 1 species